CAGCCGCCACGGGAAUACGAAGGGUGCAAGCGUUACUCGGAUUUACUGGGCGUAAAGCGUGCGUAGGUGGUGGUUUAAGUCCGUUGUGAAAGCCCUGGGCUCAACCUGGGAAUUGCAGUGGAUACUGGGUCACUAGAGUGUGGUAGAGGAUAGUGGAAUUUCCGGUGUAGCAGUGAAAUGCGUAGAGAUCGGAAGGAACAUCUGUGGCGAAGGCGACUAUCUGGGCCAACACUGACACUGAGGCACGAAAGCGUGGGGAGCAAACAGGAUUAGAUACCCCAGUAGUCCCUGUCUCUUAUAC
rnacentral:rRNA from 1 species